CAGCUCACUUAUUCUCUGGUCAAGCUGAUCCAGGUGGCUUUUCAAGCCGACAUCCUGUCUCCUCAAGCGAGACAGCUGUUCCUUGAGGGCGGUGAGGGUGGCCUCCAGCCGGAGCUCCUUGCUGUGGGCGCGCAGGGGUUGCUCGCCUUCGCCCGUCGGCAUAGCCAGGGCGGCUCGCACCAGCUCCCGCUGCUGCUCUCGCAGCACCUGGAGCUCCUGGAGGCCGGCCAGGGCCGCCUGCAGCCUCUCGCCCACCCGGCCGCGAUCCCAGCCGCCCGCCCGCGGGGCGCCCAGCAGCAUCCUCAGCGCUGGGCCGCGGCCCCGGCCAUGGCAGUGGGGCGGCGGGGAGGCGGCGGGGCUGGUCCCGCUUCGGGCCGUGUCUGCGGCCAGGGCCGCUCGCACCGCUCCGCUGCUGGCGGCGGAG
rnacentral:lncRNA from 1 species